AGCCUCCACCUGCCGCUGCGACUCCCGCUGGGCCUGCUCCAGCUCCUGCUCCCUCCCGCUCAGCUGCCGAGAGAGCUGUCCCCACCCAGGCCUAGAAGCUGAAUACACAAGACAGACCGGGGGAGCUGUCCUGCAGGCCAUAGAGUAGACACGGUGGCUGCUUCCUGAACCCCACACCCCAACCUCCAGUCCCCGUCCAGGACCAGCACUCUAUAAAAGUUCUUGGGAUUCCUGAA